AAUACGCAUGACGUGAUAUCAUUGCUGUUUUUAAUAUACAGGUUGCUCUGUCAUUAUAUUUAUUAUUUACAUUUAUAAUACAAAAUAACACUGUCAUAAAAUAACCCCUUGAAUAUUUGAUUACAGCAAAAAAUAAAUAAAGGAAAUGGGAAAUGUUGAAAAAAUAAUAACAUUUAAAUGACAGACUUUUCGUUUUGGACCCCCGAACUUUAUUUUGAAAACCAUAAGUUUCAAAUGACAUGCUGGAAUGGAAUAUUUUAGUGUGUUAAAUUUAUCAAAUGAAGAUUUUUUAUAUUGUUGACCUUAUUGCAGAAAUUAAAAGUUAACAAAUUUUAUAAACUAUUUUAAAAGCAAAAGUGAUGCCUUUGUUCCAUUUUACAUUUAAAAACAAAUGAGCUAAAAUAUAUAUUUUAAUUCGUAUACUUCACGAAAGAACACUGGAGCCUUUAUAAUAAAAAAUCAUUAAUAGAGCGUCCUGUACAUGACUCAAAGGUAAAAUAAUUGAGUCAAAACUCGGUGGGAACAUUCGCGUAAUUUGCGUUCAGUCACAGUGCUACCGGCCCGACGGACGGACACACGGACAAGUAUACACAUAGAUUUGUCCACUGGUAACAAAUAAGCGAAUUAUUUUGUAUAUUUUUACUUUUAUAAUAAAGAAUUUAUUCGAUUGGUGUUUCAUUUAAAACGUUUUUGGGCGUAAGAAGUUAUUAUAAGAGAUUGUUUGGAAUUUAAUUCCCAAUUUAUUUAUCUUACCAAAAUAUAAUCCGGAUAAAAAUUGGUGUAUUAAGAUUUUUCAAAUUAUUGCAAAGAUAUGGUUUAUUCAUCUUUGAUUUAAGCCCAAAACAUUUGCUGUCUAUGAUUAUAUUAAAAUUGUUAAAUAAUUGCUUUAUUACGCAUAUCCUGAACUCGACGCUGGCCAAUCACUAUAUUUUAAACAGCAGAUUAUUACGGAUCAUUAUCUGUAUUACUGUAACAGAAAACUACACUAAUCACGACAAUUAUUACAAUGUUCAUAAAAUUAUAAUAUUACAUGCUAGGCAAUUUAGACAACUACCAAAGUAUUUUUUUAGGUUGAUUCAUAAUAAUCUAAUAAUUAUAUUAAGUGAUGUUUGAAAUAUACCAUCACAAUGAACUAAAUUUUGAAUUAAAAUUGAAUUGAAUUAAUUUAGAUAAAGGUUAUUAAAAUUAUGGUUUUGGGAAAAUAUAAGAAAAAAAUAUCAUAAUACGGAUCUAAUUAUUAUUUUAAUGAAUAAUACUAAUUGUUUUUAAUGUUCAGAUAUCCUGACAUGAUAUUUAAUAGGACGGUAUUAAAAUAAGCAUUAUAGUAUAACAAAGGGUAUAAAAAAUACCACUAAACAAUACCAGAUCACAAUCACAAGGUCAUAACUAUUUUUCACAGCCCCGACACAGUUGGGUAAACAUCACAUGUUUAGAAUAAGCAGAUAUAAUCCUUACCUAUAUUUAUACAGGUGUUAUAUUAGCAUGUUUCGUAGACAUCAUGUUGUUGGUUUAAAAUAUAAACGUCAGCGGUAAUACCCUUUAAUGUCUUUAAAUUUGUAAAAGCAAACUGUUGAUAAACAAUUUGCUUUAAUUUUACAUGUCAGAUUCCGGGUCCUUUUUCAAGACUCAUAUAGGCGAAAUUUAGUAUAUUUCAUGAUAUCGCAGUCUUAACGUACUUGUCACUAAACCUUGAAUUUACAUAAAGUUACAUCUUCGUCUAACUAUUUAGUACAUUAUUUCUAUUUGACCUCUUUUUUACACGGGAAUGGCCAGGCUCCUAAUUUUGUUGGGAAGCUAUAACUGACCUUUAUGUGACCAUACUGACCUAAACAAAUUAAAGUUUGGCUCAUACAAGACAAAAGUGUAUAUGAAUACUAGCAAGUAAUUGCUCUAACCUAUACACAUAUAAUAUAUACAUAUAUAAAGAAUUCUGGAAUGCCGCAAAAAUGAUUUUUUUAAAA